CUCUGCAUCAGUCAUCAUCACGAUUCUGCUGAACUCUUCCACAGGAGUCUCUGCCUCUUACCUGGAUCCACGCAGACCAUUGAGCACAUCAUGUUACAGCACUUCUUGGCACCAGGGCAAGUAUUAUCACCUUUACAGAGUUUUUGGCAAGGCGGUUUAAUCACUGCAGGAGAGGGAGGGCACCUUCCAGGCUUAUCUGCAACACAGAGCAAUGUUAUAGCUUAGGCCUCAUUUGCACUAUAUUAUUUAUUAUUAUUAUUUAUUAUACUUGUAUACCGCCCCAUAGCCGAAGCUCUCUGGGCGGUCUACAUUAGAGCUCCCUGGUUUGCUGGGGAAGAUGGCAACACCAAGAAGAGCCAGGAAGCAGGGGGUCCAGUCUGGAGCCCCGAAAACAUUCCCAGGCAGGCCAACCCUCCACCACACAGAGACGUCUGUGUUCCUCUGAAGAGGCUGAACGCCACAUCCAGAAGGAUUUGGGGUGUGGGAUGAAAGGCAGCCCAGUUGGAGCUGCACACAAAGCAGCAGCAGCAGAACAGACACACCCAGAGAGUCCUGCCUAUGCAGGGAGGGAGGAAGGAUCCAUCUUUGAGGCAGGGUGCAAGAGGGAUGACGUACCUUUGGCAGAGACAGAGGGCACUAUGGCAGAGAGAGCGAGGAGCCCCACGAGGAGGAAGACCAGACCAGCAGACUUCAUGGUUAGGCAGGAUGGAAGUGCUCUCCAGACUCUAGCCGGGUGCUUUAUAGUACUCCAUCCGGGCAGGAGCCCCACCCAGACUAAAGAUGAAAACAAUAGGAAAAGGAGGGGUUGGCAAGAUGUCCCUGCAGUGCGUAAGAAACUAUGAGGAACAUGUGAAGGUGUAGGCUCCUUUGCAAGGCAUAAUCAAAGUGGCCAUUUCACAAUACGUUCCCAGUUUCCAAAUCAACACAAGGAAGCAUCUCAGCGGUCAGUGCUCCUUUGGAAAAACAAGAGGCACCACCCCUGCAGGGGAAGACACUGAGGGAAUGGGAAAGUGCUGUUGUGUCCUGCAUGUGAGCUUCCCUGAGGCAAUGUGGACGAGAAGGGCCUUUGGCCUGACCCAGCAGGGAGCUCUUGUUAUGCUCUCUUCUUGGUGGAAUUAGGUAGACAGGGGGGAGAAAGGUUGCAUAAAAAUGAAUAUGUCAGUGGAAAUAACAGACAAAAUGCAUUAUAUUAGGGGAAAUUGCUUGCAAAAAUGUGUACAUUAGUCAGAACUGUAUAAAGAUUGUGUUUUAUUAGGAGAAAUUCGCGUUAAAAUGCUGAAGAAUUUUCAUGAGGAUUUUUUUUUUUAAAGUCGCAAAUUGCUGCAGAAAUAGGGAGAAUCAGAUUUAAGAUUGGAACAAUGAGAAAUUGAGAGAACUGAAAUGGACAGAUCCUUCCAUCCCAACAGCAGGCCACUUCACGGUGCAGUCUCCCACCACCUGCCAUGCUCAACGCCUUCUGCAUGCUGGCACGAGGUGUUCCCCAAAGGACUCUUAACUAGGUGAACUGGGGGAUUAACAAAGUCCUUCGGAGACCAUCCUUCAGAAGCACCAGAGCACUGCCACUUCAAGACUUCUUCACCAGGUGGGAUUGUGAUGCUGUGACCACCACCCCAAUUUCUUCUCAACCCCAUUGAGGGUCUCUGUUUUGGUUAAUGACUGUGCAAGGUAUUGAUAAUCAGGGCCGGCCCCAGACAUGCCGGGGCCCUUGGGCACCAGCUUGCCCUGGACCCUGGCAUGCAUGUGCGCAUGCACACAUACAUGUGUGCGCGUGCCCAGGGCCAGCCCCAGACAUGCUGGAGCCCUUGGGCAAAAGUCUGCCCCAGACCCCAGUGCUCCCCUUCCGCGACUCAUGCACAGAGAGAGCUUUCUGCAAAAGUGGCUGCCUUUUCCUAGGGAAGGAGAAAAAGAAAAAUACCAUAAAGUUCUCUGUUAUAAAUAAAUAAAUGCCAUGUGGCACCCCCAUUUCUUUUAAA